rnacentral:rRNA from 1 species
UGGGGGAUAUUGCACAAUGGGGGAAACCCUGAUGCAGCGACGCCGCGUGUAGGAAGACGGUCUUCGGAUUGUAAACUACUGUCUUCGGGGACGAAGUAUGACGGUACCCGAGGAGGAAGCCACGGCUAACUACGUGCCAGCAGCCGCGGUAAUACGUAGGUGGCGAGCGUUGUCCGGAAUUACUGGGUGUAAAGGGAGCGUAGGCGGGUAAACAAGUCCGUUGUGAAAUCUAUCGGCUCAACCGGUAGCUGCGGCGGAAACUGUAUAUCUUGAGUGAAGUAGAGGCAGGCGGAAUUCCUAGUGUAGCGGUGAAAUGCGUAGAUAUUAGGAGGAACACCAGUGGCGAAGGCGGCCUGCUGGGCUUUAACUGACGCUGAGGCUCGAAAGCGUGGGUAGCAAACAGGAUUAGAUACCCUGGUAGU